GACGAACGCUGGCGGCGUGCUUAACACAUGCAAGUCGAACGGAAAGGCCCUGCUUUUUUGGGGUUCUCGAGUGGCGAACGGGUGAGUAACACGUGAGUAACCUGCUCUUGACUUUGGGAUAACUUCAGGUAACUGGGGCUAAUACCGGAUAGGAGCUCCUGCUGCAUGGUGGGGGUUGGAAAGUUUCGGCGGUUGGGGAUGGACUCGCGGCUUAUCAGUUUGUUGGUGGGGUAGGGGCUUACCAAGGCUUUGACGGGUAGCCGGCCUGAGAGGGUGACCGGCCACAUUGGGACUGAGAUACGGCCCAGACUCCUACGUGAGGCAGCAGUGGGGAAUAUUGCACAAUGGGAGGAAGCCUGAUGCAGCAACGCCGCGUGCGGGAUGACGGCCUUCGGGUUGUAAACCGCUUUCGCCUGUGACGAAGCGUGAGUGACGGUAAUGGGUAAAGAAGCACCGGCUAACUACGUG
rnacentral:rRNA from 1 species